CUUUCUUUGCUGGCGACCGGCGCACGGGUGAGUAACACGUAUCCAACCUGCCCUUUACUCGGGGACAGCCUUUCGAAAGAAAGAUUAAUACCCGAUAGCAUAAUGAUUCCGCAUGGUUUCAUUAUUAAAGGAUUCCGGUAAAGGAUGGGGAUGCGUUCCAUUAGGUUGUUGGUGGGGUAACGGCCCACCAAGCCUUCGAUGGAUAGGGGUUCUGAGAGGAAGGUCCCCCACAUUGGAACUGAGACACGGUCCAA
rnacentral:rRNA from 1 species